CUUUGACCCGCACCUUCAUUUCAUCCUUCCCAAUCUGGUUUUCAGCAUAGCAGGUUCUGAGCUGUGCAUAAAUACUGCCCACGAUCCUGAAGCUGAGCAUUUCGGAUAAGGAGAGUACCAUUUUUCCAGACUUCAAACCUCUGUAACUUGCUGUUGGCUGUCAUUAGAGCUCCUGUGAAGGUGAUGCAUCAGCAGAGGAAUCCACCACAUCAGCUCCUGUCUCUGAAGAUGGAGGGCUGGCUAAGGGCUGAAUGGGCAUCCAAUUCUCAAUCUGACCACAAUUUCUCCUGACUUUAAUGAGAGGAUUGAAUUCUCCAUCCUUCUGAAAAUUAGAUUCACUGCCUCUGAAUUAAAUGCCUAGAAACCAAAGUGUGCAGGGUAACAUUUAAAUCAGUAACAAACUACUCUGUGAAAAAGACUGCAUUUGUAGUGACAGCUUAACUUGUGGAUCUAAUAUGAA